AUGCGAUGAACAGGCGAUCCUUUUGGUUCGUUUCUCUGAACUUUUUCGCAAAAAAAGUAAUACGAAUAAAUCGUCAAAGAUACGACCGGAUUGUGGCUGACAGGGAUGCUGCGGAAACGAGAUGAUACGUUUGUAGGAGGGUUCACACAAAAGAAAAAAGCAAGCCUUUUAAUGGGGAUUUUAAAAGCGUACCGUAAGGAUCAAGAAAUAAUGGAAAUUUCUUGUACAAGUAACUCAACGUAGGACCGGCGCUAGAGACCGCUGGUGAACGCAAUAAAACCUUAUUAUACUCGGUCGGAAUUUCAAUGGGUAAAGAGGAAGUGAGAAGAGCGUCGGUGCAAGGUAGAUGGGCUGGGAGUAGCAGGGGUGCGAACGAAGUGAUCGAUGAGGACAUACGUCAACGGAGCAGAACGGACAGGACGUCGACGCUGUCGGGGAAGCCGCCGUGCACGAGACGAGAUGAG